rnacentral:rRNA from 1 species
UGGGGAAUUUUGGACAAUGGGGGAAACCCUGAUCCAGCCAUCCCGCGUGUGCGAUGAAGGCCUUCGGGUUGUAAAGCACUUUUGGCAGGAAAGAAACGUCAUGGGUUAAUACCCCGUGAAACUGACGGUACCUGCAGAAUAAGCACCGGCUAACUACGUGCCAGCAGCCGCGGUAAUACGUAGGGUGCAAGCGUUAAUCGGAAUUACUGGGCGUAAAGCGUGCGCAGGCGGUUCGGAAAGAAAGAUGUGAAAUCCCAGAGCUCAACUUAGGAACUGCAUUUUUAACUACCGGGCUAGAGUGUGUCAGAGGGAGGUGGAAUUCCGCGUGUAGCAGUGAAAUGCGUAGAUAUGCGGAGGAACACCGAUGGCGAAGGCAGCCUCCUGGGAUAACACUGACGCUCAUGCACGAAAGCGUGGGGAGCAAACAGG